CACAGUGUUAUCCAUAAAAACUUGUCAUGUAUUCAGGAAUAUCUCAGUUCCUGAUACAGAUUAUUUCUGUGUUAGCGUAGACAGUGUAAAGUGUCUCAGCAUAGGCAACAGCUGAGCAUCUAUAGAUCACA